rnacentral:rRNA from 1 species
AUGUAUAGUAGAGUAACCUUACUAGCUUUUUUACAAUGUUUGAAAAAAAUCUGCCUGCUAUGUUGCAAUCGCUGGGAGGAGGAUCCUUGCAUUGUCGAAAAACAAUAUAAUUGUGAAUUUCUGUUGUAUUAUGAUAGGAACUUAUACCGUAAACAAGAUAUUAAGAAGCUAAGCUUUUGCAUUUCAUUCAUGGUUACAACUGCAGUAAUAUUUGUUAUUUUUAUGCAGUGUGCAAUGAUUUUAGAAUUGACCAAAUUACCAUUGCGAUUUCCUAGAGAAAGUACACAGUACUCACCUGGUGUAGAUGAAUUUCUGGAGUUUGCAUAUAGAGAUAUACUAGCAGAUACAAUGACUAGCAUCCUUCUGUCACUACUUGCAUCUUGUCAAUGCAUUGUGUGUUAA